rnacentral:tRNA from 1 species
GCGGGUGUAGUUGAGAGGCUCAACGUCACCCUUCCAAGGUGAAGACGAGGGUUCAAUUCCCUCCACCCGCU